rnacentral:lncRNA from 1 species
AAUAAUAAGGAAACCCCCCCCCCCCAAAAAAAAAGGAAAAAAGAACCCAAAAACAGAGCUAUGGUAUUUCUCCACAAGGCUGCAAGUUCUACUUAGUCCGUUUGUUAAGGUGGUUGCAAAUAUAAACAGAGCGAAUGGAUGAUCAAUAUUCUUCCCGUCUAAUGCUCCUUUCCUUAUCCUCCAUGGAAAAUCACCCUUGGGAUUCAGAGCUUUAUCAUGUUGUCGUGACACCUUACCCAUAAUUCAGUCAUGGUGUAAUAAAGCAGAAUGCAAUUAAUCAGAACUGUGCGAGAGAAAACAUGGGAUGUGCAAAUAAACAACAGAAUAUUAUAUCUUUGUAAGAACUAAGAAGCAAUGAGCACUAGGAAAAUGAUUCAACGUACCAUGAUGUGAUGAGUGACCCGGAUAGUAGGCGGGAGGGUAACCUGCAGGAGGAUAUCCACCAGGUGGAGGAUAUGCAGGUGGCGGGUAUGCACCGGGAGGAGGAGGAUAGCCUGCGGGUGGGUAUCCACCGUGUGGAGGAUAGCCAGAAGGGGGGUACCCUUGUGGUGGAUAUCCAUAUCCUUGAGGUGGAUAUGUCCCAUAGCCUCCGUGGUGAUGGCCCACGGCAUAUCCAGCAAGAUGAGAAAAGAGUCCUUUGUCAUCACUUCCAUGUCUGUCCCCCAUUUUUCUUUUCAAUUCAAUUAUCAGAGCCUGGAAUGCAACAAACACAACAAGGAUGUAAAUAUUCAGAAUAGAUAAAUCAGCUAGGUAAAAUGGAGAACCAUAGUUUUCAUAGUUGAACACCACCCCAGGUGCCAUCGAUUAGCAUUUUCUGUAACCUUGUUUCACAAGAGGAUUUAUGCUUAGAUCUUAUUCAAUCCACAACAACGAAACCACAUAACACAUAAAGAUCAUACUUCUCAUAGUCAAUUAAUCUAUUUCAACCAAAUAAACUAUUAAAUUUUAUAAUCAACAACAAACAAUUUUUAGAGUGAACAAUAAACAAAUUUCAGACUAUUCUUGGAGCCAAUGAGCGUAUGCGCUAUCAUCUACUCAUAGUUGCAUCCAGAAUUUUUAAAGGUCAUGAACAACUAACCUGGUAAUCACACAACAUCUUGAGAUGUCACAACUCGAUAAGCUGAUAUUAUCCAAUUCAAUCAUUUUAAGGCAAAAUAAUUACACAAACACAAAGGAAAAGCUGCACAAAACUAUAUCCUUGGACAAGAUCAACUUUUUCUAUACCAAAACAAAUUGUGCAACCUGAAUUGGGAAGGAAAAAAGGCCAACUUUUCCACCCUCAGUAAGAAGAUUAGAUCAUGAAAUUAGUAGUAAAACACUACCAUGCUAAAUCCAAAAAUUUGGUUACGUCCCCCGUCCUCCCCCCCCGGGGGGGGGGGGGGG